rnacentral:rRNA from 1 species
AUGGUCGUCAUGAAAGCGAGGAAAGCAAUCAAAAGAUCAACUUCCGCGACCGCUGACGCCGGAGCCGGAGCCAGCAGCUCCAUGUCCAUGGCGCCUCCGCCCAGUCCCGGCGGGUUUAACGAACUCAAGCAGCCGUCGCCGCUGCCUCCCGACGUCUACUUCAACCCGACAAAUGCGGAUAGUAUGGGGUUCCUCAACCGGUGGAUCGCCGGCGACGACAAGAUGCCGGACGCGCGGGGUUUCAUCUUUCACAUCGACAUGUACGCCAACGGUCCCUGCGCGUUGCAGCAGCUUCACCCGCCGGCCAGCGCCCGCGCGGGCUAG